UACGGAGGGUGCAAACGUUGCUCGGAAUCAUUGGGCGUAAAGCGCACGUAGGCGGUCGGCUAUGUCGGAUGUGAAAGCCUCGGGCUUAACCCGAGAAGGGCAUCCGAAACUGGCCGGCUUGAGUACGGAAGAGGGUCUCGGAAUUCCCGGUGUAGAGGUGAAAUUCGUAGAUAUCGGGAGGAACACCAGUGGCGAAGGCGGAGACCUGGGCCGAUACUGACGCUGAGGUGCGAAAGCGUGGGGAGCAAAC
rnacentral:rRNA from 1 species